rfam:Polysphondylium pallidum PN500 unplaced genomic scaffold PPL_scaffold13, whole genome shotgun sequence.
UCAAAGGCUUUUUUCAAAGCCACCCAUACACCAAAGAAUCAAUUU